rnacentral:rRNA from 1 species
UUAAGCUAUAAAGAGCAUAGGGUGGAUGCCUAGGCACUGAGAGCCGAUGAAAGACGUGAUAAGCUGCGAUAAGCUGCGGUAAGGAGCAAAUAUCCAUUGACCCGCAGAUUUCUGAAUGGGGAAACCUACGCAAGAAGACCUUGCGUACUCAUACAUGAAUACAUAGUGUAUGAGAGGGAACCCGGGGAACUGAAACAUCUAAGUACCCGGAGGAAGAGAAAGAAACAUCGAUUUCCUGAGUAGCGGCGAGCGAAAGGGAAAGAGCCCAAACCAGAGGAUUUAUCCUUUGGGGUUAGGACUGCAUAAUUGAUCUGCAAUUGAUAGGAGAACGGUCUGGGAAGUCCGGCGAGAAAGCGUGAAAGCCGCGUAUCCGAAAUCGAAAGCAGCAAGGCAGUAUCCAGAGUACCACGAGACACGAGAAACCUUGUGGGAAUGAGCGGAGACCACUCCGUAAGGCUAAAUACUACUCAGUGACCGAUAGCGCAUAGUACUGUGAAGGAAAGGUGAAAAGGACCCCGGGAGGGGAGUGAAAGAGAACCUGAAACCCUGUGUUUACAAGCUGUCGAAGCACGAAAGUGCGACGGCGUACUUUUUGUAGAACGGUCCGGCGAGUUAUGAUGAGUGGUAAGGUUAAGGACUUAAGGUCCGGAGCCGAAGCGAAAGCGAGUGUUAAAAGCACGGUUGAAUCGCUUAUCAUAGACCCGAAACCGGGUGAUCUAUCCAUGUCCAGGUUGAAGCUGCCGUAAGAGGUAGUGGAGGACCGAACACACAUCCGUUGAAAAGGGUGGUGAUGAGGUGUGGAUAGGGGAGAAAUUCCAAUCGAACCCGGAGAUAGCUGGUUCUCCUCGAAAUAGCUUUAGGGCUAGCCUCGGUGUGAGUCUUGCGGAGGUAGAGCACUGAAUUUCCUAGGGGGCGUCAAAGCCUACCGAAGAAUAUCAAACUGCGAAUGCCGUACAGAUGAUUUACGGGAGUCAGACUGCACGAGAUAAGUUGGGUGGUCAAAAGGGAAAGAGCCCAGACCUACAGCUAAGGUCCCAAAGUGUGUGUUAAGUGGAAAAGGAUGUGGGAUUUCGAAGACAACUAGGAUGUUGGCUCAGAAGCAGCCACACAUUCAAAGAGUGCGUAAUAGCUCACUAGUCGAGAGGUCCUGCGCCGAAAAUGUCCGGGGCUAAAACACAACACCGAAGCUUAGGAAUUCUAAUGAAUUGGUAGAGGAGCAUUGAAGACGGAACGAAGCCAUACCGAAAGGAAUGGUGGACUGUCUUGAAGAGAGAAUGCCGGAAUGAGUAGCGAGAUUGAAGUGAGAAUCUUCAAGGCCGAAUAUCUAAGGUUUCCAGGGUAAAGCUGAUCUGCCCUGGGUAAGUCGGGGCCUAAGGCAAGGUCGAAAGACGUAGUCGAUGGAUAACAGGUUGAAAUUCCUGUACUGCAUCAAAUCAGAAAUGUGGGGACACAUGAGGGAAGCAUGAGCCGGAAAAGGAAAGUCCGGUACAAGCGCAGCAGAGGACAGAUAGGAAAAACCGUCUGUCAACUCGAGGGCGUGAUGUGGAGCGAACCAAAGUAGCGAAGCAUGUGGAGCUUGUGUCGAGAAAAGCCGCUAUAGUGUUUGAUGUACCCGUACCGUAAACCGACACAGGUGGAUGAGGAGAGAAUCCUAAGGCCGGCGGGAGAAGCAUUGUUAAGGAACUCGGCAAAAUGACCCCGUAACUUCGGGAGAAGGGGUGCUCUUGAAAAAGAGCCGCAGAGAAUUGGCCCAAGCAACUGUUUAGCAAAAACACAGGUCUAUGCAAAACCGAAAGGUGAGGUAUAUGGGCUGACGCCUGCCCGGUGCUGGAAGGUUAAGAGGAGAGGUUAGCGCAAGCGAAGCUUUGAAUUUAAGCCCCAGUAAACGGCGGCCGUAACUAUAACGGUCCUAAGGUAGCGAAAUUCCUUGUCGGGUAAG